rnacentral:rRNA from 1 species
GCCAGACUCCUACGGGAGGCAGCAGUGAGGAAUAUUGGUCAAUGGGCGCGAGCCUGAACCAGCCAAGUCGCGUGAGGGAAGACGGUCCUAUGGAUUGUAAACCUCUUUUGUCGGGGAGCAAAAGACGCCACGCGUGGCGUUCCGAGAGUACCCGAAGAAAAAGCCCCGGCUAACUACGUGCCAGCAGCCGCGGUAAUACGUAGGGGGCAAGCGUUAUCCGGAUUUACUGGGUGUAAAGGGGGCGCAGACGGCAGCGCAAGCCAGGAGUGAAAGCCCGGGGCCCAACCCCGGGACUGCUCUUGGAACUGCGCGGCUGGAGUGCAGGAGGGGCAGGCGGAAUUCCUGGUGUAGCGGUGAAAUGCGUAGAUAUCAGGAGGAACACCGGUGGCGAAGGCGGCCUGCUGGACUGCGACUGACGUUGAGGCCCGAAAGCGUGGGGAGCAAACAGGAUUAGAUACCCGAGUAUA